rnacentral:rRNA from 1 species
UGGGGAAUAUUGGACAAUUGGCGCAAGCCUGAUCCAGCCAUGCCGCGUGUGUGAAGAAGGCUUUUUGGUUGUAAAGCACUUUAAGCGAGGAGGAGGCUACUUGGAUUAAUACUCUAGGAUAGUGGACGUUACUCGCAGAAUAAGCACCGGCUAACUCUGUGCCAGCAGCCGCGGUAAUACAGAGGGUGCGAGCGUUAAUCGGAUUUACUGGGCGUAAAGCGUGCGUAGGCGGCUUUUUAAGUCGGAUGUGAAAUCCCUGAGCUUAACUUAGGAAUUGCAUUCGAUACUGGGAAGCUAGAGUAUGGGAGAGGAUGGUAGAAUUCCAGGUGUAGCGGUGAAAUGCGUAGAAAUCUGGAGGAAUACCGAUGGCGAAGGCAGCCAUCUGGCCUAAUACUGACGCUGAGGUACGAAAGCAUGGGGAGCAAACAGG